rnacentral:rRNA from 1 species
UGUAAGCGUAUACCAAAGUUGUUGCAGUUAAAACGCUCGUAGUCGGAAUUUGGCAGUUCCGGAUGUGUGCACGUCGUGUGCGCACUUCGCGGGGAUUGCUUUUGUGGUAUUGCGUAGGAUGAGGCACUUUUAUUAGUGAACGUCCUCACGCAACCACUUUUUACUGUGAGAAAAUCAGAGUGCUCAAAGCAGGCAUUUGCCGUGAAUGUAUUAGCAUGGAAUAAUAGAAUAGGACUUGGUUCUAUUUUGUUGGUUUGUUGGGACUGAGUAAUGAUUAAGAGGGACAGUUGGGGGCAUUUGUAUUUCGGUGCUAGAGGUGAAAUUCUUAGAUUACCGAAAGACAAACUGCUGCGAAAGCGUCUGCCAAGGAUGUUUUCAUUGA